GCGGGUGUAGCUCAGUUGGUAGAGCUCCAGCUUUCCAAGCUGGCUGUCGAGGGUUCGAAUCCCUUCGCCCGCU
rnacentral:tRNA from 1 species